GAUGAACGCUGGCGGCGUGCCUAAUACAUGCAAGUCGAACGAACCGACGCUGAGUUUGUUCCUCUGGCCAUAGCGAGUGGCGGACGGGUAACUAAUGGAUAACUUACCUAUCUCACUGGGAUAAAUAAGGGACGGCGGCGCUAACUCAUGCUACUAUAUUGAUCCGCACGGUUGGAUCUUUAAAGACGGUUUUCGUGUGCUUUCUCGAUGGAACCGCGCCGCAUUAGCUAGUUGGUAAGGUAGCGGCUUAGCAAGGCAACGAUGCGUAGCCGACCUGAGAGGGUGAUCGGCCACACUGGAACUGAGACACGGUCCAGACUCCUACGGGAGGCAGCAGUAGGGAAUCUUCCGCAAUGGGCGAAAGCCUGACGGAGCAACGCCGCGUGAGUGAUGAAGGUCUUCGGAUCGUAAAGCUCUGUUAUUAGGGAAGAACAAAUGUGUAAGUAACUAUGCACGGCGUGACGGUACCUAAUCAGAAAGCCACGGCUAACUACGUG
rnacentral:rRNA from 1 species